GGGGGGCAGAUUUUGACUUCACAACUGGUGACAUGGACACAAUCAGGACAUGGUGGUGCCUGUUGCUCCUGUCUGGUCAUUCAGUUGUCAGGUUCGCACAGAAAAGGAAAUAUGAAGAUCCCAUCAUAAUAGCAGAUAAGGAUAAGGAGGAGGCAAAGAGGCCCAGGACAAUCCCUCCUCAACAGUCGGAACCUGUUGACCUGACCAAAGAGGGGAUUCUGGAGGGCAUCAAUGUUUCUCUAAAAUAAACAUGUUACACUCUU